GACGAACGCUGGCGGCGUGCUUAACACAUGCAAGUCGAGCGGAGCGGCGAACGGGUGAGUAACGCGUGAGUAACUGCCCCCCUCUCUGGGAUAACAGUUGGAAACGGCUGCUAAUACCGGAUAGUGGGGGAUGACUCGCGUCCUAUCAGCUUGUUGGUGGGGUAGUGGUCUACCAAGGCGACGACGGGUCGCCGGCCUUCGAGGGUGACCGGCCACAUUACGCUGAGAUACGUACCAGUCUGCUACGGGGGGCAGCGGUGGGGAAUAUUGCACAAUGGGGGAAACCCUGAGGCAGAAGCGCCGGGUGCGUGAUGACGGCCUUCGGGGGGUAAACCGCUUUCAGCCAUGACGCGGUAGUGGCAGAAGAAGCACCGGCUAACUACGUGCCAGCAGCCGCGGUAAUAC
rnacentral:rRNA from 1 species